AGAGCUGAACGAGCGGCUGGUGAAAUGUUUUGCGGUUUCACAAGGCAGAAGCGACGUGGGAGCACAAGCGCCAAGUAGUCCAACAGCACUGGCGGACGGACCUCAAGCAAUUCGCUUCCAUGUGUUCUCUCUCUGUCCCCUCGGUCUCAGUAGUGUCGAAGGAAAACACACACAGGCAUGAGGCAUCCCUGUGAGUUUGUUGGUCUUGAACUCUUGAUGCUGAAAAUGGAGAUUAAAGAGCAUUAUUUUGAGGUCUGUGACAUUAUAGAUGACUUGUCCGUAUCAAUAUUAAACCACUUGACUGAAAACUGCAAGAAAGAACUCGAGACAAUAAACGGGCAGUAUCCAUUUUGAACCUCUGAAGUAUCUAGACAAAACCUUGAAGAUCACUUACGACGAAUGAGUUCAAAUGUUAAAGUUUUUUAUCACUGCUUCUCCAUGAAAGAGGUGGAAGGGGACCAUUUCGAUGUUCAUAUUGGAGGCAUUGCAGCAGACUUUCUAGAAAGUUUUCGUGACCACUCAUUCAUGAUCUCGAAUUUCGGGACCAAAGAGGAAGAAAGCCCUAUAUAUCAUAUUUUGUCUGAGUAUGGUAUGACUGUAUUGGACUACCCUGUCCACUACGAGGGAUGUCCACCUCUCACCAUAGAAAUGAUCCACUGCAUCUUGAAAUCCAGCGAAAGCUAGCUUUCCUUUGGGUCAACAUAACUUACUGCUAAUGCACUGUAAACUAGGGACCUGUUCUGGCUUUCAUGUUAGCUGCUCUUCUAAUAUACCUGGGACAUUAUUCCGACGAGGAGAAAGUACUGGAUAUGGUCUACAAGCAAUCGGUUUGGAGCUUUUGGAGAUGAUUUCACCUCUGAAUCCCAUGCCUUCUCAAAUGAGAUAUUUGGGCUAUAUCUCGACGAGGAAUGUCAUGCCUGAGUGGCCUCCAGCUGAGAGAGCCCUCACAUUAGGUUGUGUUAUUUUGAGAAUAGUUCCAAAUUUUCAUGGCCCAAGUGGUUUCCGUCCAAUAUUCAGGAUUGUUUUUUAUUGUGUUGUUCAAGGUGUGGUGAACUUACAGUUCUGUGGAGUUUGUACGCCGUCGUAACGCAUACGAUUUGAUCGGUCGCCGGUGGGCCUAGAUGAUCCAGAUCGACAAAAAAUUUUAGGAAGUGCUGCAGUUCACCGCCCUGCCUUUUCUUCUCCCGUCCACCCUGCGUUUCUGCUCUGGUGACCGCAGCCGCCCUAAGCUACGUGUUCGGUCUAGCCUCGUCGGCCCGUCGCCGGCGGCCAACACCCAACAUGGCAGAGACGGUGUUCUUCCCCUCUUUGGAAGGGAUGAAGCAUGUGAAGGCAGAGAACUGAGUCAUUCUUACCAAGCCAUUCCUUGAUGUCUGCAAACAAAUCUUGCCUGUCCUGGACAAAUUUGGAUCUGCUAUGGAAAUGGUAAAGAAUGAUAUCGGUGGCAAUAUCACAGUAAGCAAAUCUUUCAACAAGAUUUCUAUUAAACUAGUAUCAUUCAAAGGUUAUCUUCCAUUUUUUCUGUUGGUAAAUAGCUGGGCAGGUUGCGACAGUGUUAAUGUUGUCUUUCAGUUAUCUAUGUUGUGACAAUCGAUCUAAAUAGCUACUUUAGACUGAUCUGCCUCUUGCUGGGUUUUUUUGAAGGGGGAAAGGUUGUAGGGUAAAUCCCUAUAGCACGAUUUUAUUUAAUCAAAAAGAGGGAUAACAGAGAUAACAUGAUCAAAAGAAACAAAGAAAGAAAACCAGAGGGAAGGGUGGGAAGGAGCAGGCUAUCGAGAAUUUAGCCACGAAGUCACCCUGGCACUAAACCUAAACAUUUACAUCUUCAGCAUAUCACUGAAGUAGGACUGCCAGGAAGAAACAGAAAGGGGCAAUGCUCCUGAAGAUGAAGUCAUUUCUUUCCUUCCAAAUGCUCCAAACCACCACAGGCAAGAUAUCCAUGAAGAAAUUGUAUCGAAAAGCACUCUUAGCAACCUCAAUCAUCGAGAAGAAAUACAGAUCAUGAUACCAUUAGAUUCCCACGUAAUUCCAGCAUUCUAAACUGAAGGGGCAAUCAAACAGGUGGUGAUAUGUUGUCUCUUCACAGCCUCGGUCACAGAGGAUACAAUUGAGGUUGUUGCCAGCAAUCAAGAAACCCUUUCUUCCGAGAGUAAUCUUCGAGUUGAUUCUAUCCCUAAAAAUCAGCCUGACGAACAUCUUAAUUUUCUUACAAACUUUGGACUGCCAAAUCCAGUUGAAAGUUGAUGGAGGUUGGAUUGAUUUGAAAGUUAAAUUGUAAAACUUGGAGGAACUAAAACUGUCAUUUCUCCGAGGAUAAAUCCAUUUGUCCUUGCCAACUCUGGAAGUUUGCAGCUGAUCAACAAUCUCAUAGAACAAUUGAUAUUCCUAAGUAGCCCGAGGAGAAAUUCCCUAGACAAUAUGGAGCAGGUUUCAUUUAUCACUUUUGGAGCCCUCGGAGUUCUAGGUUGUUUUUUAUUUUUAAUUUGUACUGACUUAAUUUGGCUUACAAAGGGAUGACAUGUUUAGCAAAUAAAUGGUGCGAAAAUACAUGUUACAUUAAA